rnacentral:tRNA from 1 species
CAUUGAAUUACUUAAAGCAAGUUUUGGUCUCUUAAACCAAUUUAUAGUAGAAUAGCGACUACUUUCAAUGA